UAGAGAUCUAGAGGAAUACGGGUGGCGAAGGCGGCGCCCUGGACAAAGGCUGACGCUCAGGUGAGAAAGCGUGGGGAGCAAACAGGAUUAGAUACCCUGGUAGUCCACGUUGUAAACGAUGUCGACUUGGAGGUUGUGCCCUUGAGGCGUGGCUUCCGGAGCUUACGCGUUAAGGAGACCGCCUGGGGAGUACGGCCGCAAGGUUAAAACUCAAAUGAAUUGCCGGGGGCCCGCACAAGCGGUGGAGCAU
rnacentral:rRNA from 1 species